UACGUAUGGUGCAAGCGUUAUCCGGAUUUACUGGGUGUAAAGGGAGCGUAGACGGCUGUGUAAGUCUGAAGUGAAAGCCCGGGGCUCAACCCCGGGACUGCUUUGGAAACUAUGCAGCUAGAGUGUUGGAGAGGUAAGUGGAAUUCCCAGUGUAGCGGUGAAAUGCGUAGAUAUUGGGAGGAACACCAGUGGCGAAGGCGGCUUACUGGACGAUGACUGACGUUGAGGCUCGAAAGCGUGGGGAGCAAACAGG
rnacentral:rRNA from 1 species